AGUGAACGCUGGCGGUAGGCCUAACACAUGCAAGUCGAACGGCAGCACAGGAGAGCUUGCUCUCUGGGUGGCGAGUGGCGGACGGGUGAGGAAUACAUCGGAAUCUACUCUGUCGUGGGGGAUAACGUAGGGAAACUUACGCUAAUACCGCAUACGACCUACGGGUGAAAGCAGGGGACCUUCGGGCCUUGCGCGAUUGACUGAGCCGAUGUCGGAUUAGCUAGUUGGCGGGGUAAAGGCCCACCAAGGCGACGAUCCGUAGCUGGUCUGAGAGGAUGAUCAGCCACACUGGAACUGAGACACGGUCCUGACUCCGACGGGAGGCAGCAGUGGGGAAUAUUGGACAAUGGGCGCAAGCCUGAUUCAGCCAUACCGCGUGGGUGAAGAAGGCCUUCGGGUUGUAAAGCCCUUUUGUUGGGAAAGAAAUCCAGCUGGCUAAUACCCGGUUGGGAUGACGGUACCCAAAGAAUAAGCACCGGCUAACUUCGUGCCAGCAGCCGCCGUAA
rnacentral:rRNA from 1 species